rnacentral:rRNA from 1 species
GACGAACGCUGGCGGCGUGCUUAACACAUGCAAGUCGAACGAAGUGGCGAACGGGUGAGUAACGCGUAAUCAACCUGCCCUUCAGAGGGGGACAACACUUGGAAACGACUGCUAAUACCGCAUACUGAAGGAGGGGAUUGCGUCUGAUUAGCUAGUUGGAGGGGUAACGGCCACCCAAGGCGAUGAUCAGUAGGCGGGUGGGGAGGAUGAACGGCCACAUUGGGACUGAGACACGGCCCAGACCCCUACGGGAGGCAGCAGUGGGGAAGAUGCCGCAAUGGAAGAAAGUCUGACGGAGCAACGGCGGGUUAGUGAUGACGGUCUUCGGGUUGUAAAGCUUUGUUAAUCGGGACGCGGUACCGGAAUAGAAAGCAACGGCUAACUACGUGCCAGCAGCCGCGGUAAUUC